AUGGCCGGAUGGAAAAAACCCGCUUGGCCUGGGGAUGAGGAUCGUUGUGGGAAGGCGGUCUGUGGGGGAGCUGGUUUGUCGGAGGAGGCGGUGGAUUUUUUGGUGUUAAAGAUUACUGCGAUUUGGUGGUCAAGUGACCCAUGUGGCGGCCUAGUUCUGACUGCGAUGAGGUUUCAACGGAGGCUGAAGCGGAUAUGUGUUGGUGUAUAG